GCCAUUAUACACUACUAUAUGGGCCAGCCAACCAAAUACACUAGACUGCAUUAUACACUACUAGGGUGUAUUCAACACCGUAGCAAAACAUUGGACAAGUUUAGCUGAGUGCCUCCCUGUUUCGGUGUUGUGAAUAAAUUCACAUGAUUUAUAUGUUUAAUGACUAAAUUAUUUAUACGUUCAAAUUAUUAAUGUCAAGGCAAUAACUAACAGUAUUCCACCCUGUCACUGUAUAAUGGAGUGAAAUGUAUUUGAAUCAUAAGACUAGAAUUCUUGCAUGAUUGUGCAUAGGAAAACAGGAACUGUUAACAGACAGCUUGUGACAGACAACUUGUGACUACUGUGAAACUGAUAACAGGAAGGAGGUCUCCCCACCCAGGGAGGGGAGAAACUGUUAGGCUUGCAGUAGAUUAUGUAACAUGUUGCAGGAUAUGAUAAGCAAUGGAUGUGUAGGAGAAGACUUGUAAAUAGUAUUGAUAGGGUUAGGAGAAGAGGAGGGGCAUUGAUGACCAAAUGUGAGCUAUAUAACCAAAUGUGCAUUGUAUGAUUUUCAGAACGUUCUCUGAAUAAACUUUUUACCUAUUGCAGACUGGGACUUUGUCGAAUUCUUCAUUAACCAGGGAUUUACAACCCCUGGGAAUUUAUUCAAAGCUUAAAUGAGAGUUGAGUUCACAACAUUGGGAUAAAGAAUUCUCGUGACAACUUGGUCCUUCGAGCCGGAUCUCAAUACCUGCCUCUGUCGUCCCAAGGAAGUGCUGAAAACCGUGCACAGGCGGAUCCAGGAUCCGUCAGACAAAGACCUUGACCUCUGAAUUUAGGGUUUAUUUCAGGCCAGUGGUGAACUGGUACACGACAGAGGUGGUGACGAGAUCCAACCUACCUUGAAUUCUCAGCUGCAAGAAUAAGGACAAUGACCCAACACACUUCCAGCCUGUGUAAGGGCUAUUUUUCCAAGAAGGAGAGUGAUGGAGUGCUGCAUCAGAUGACCUGGCCUACAAAACCCCCCGACCUCACCCCAAUUGAGAUGGUUUGGGAUGAGUUUGACCGCAGAGUGAAGGAAAAGCAGCCAACAAGUGAUCAGCAUAUGUGGGAACUCCUUCAAGACUUUUGGAAAAGCAUUCCAGGUGAAGCUGGUUUGGAGAAUGUCAAGAGUGUGCAAAGCUGUAUUCAAGGCAAAGGAAAUAGACCAAGACUGGCCUAGCCAGUCUCCAGACCUGAACCCAAUAGAAAAUCUUUGGAGGGAGCUGAAAGUCCAUAUUGCCCAGCGACAGCCCCGAAACCUGAAGGAUCUGGAGAAGGUCUGUAUGGAGGAGUGGGCCAAAAUCCCUGCUGCAGUGUGUGCAAACAUGGUCAGGAACUACAGGAAACAUAUGAUCUCUGUAAUUGCAAACAAAGGUUUCUGUACCAAAUAUUAAAUUCUGCUUUUCUGAUGUAUCGAAUACUUAUGUCAUGCAAUAAAAUGCAAAUUAAUUACUUAAAAAUCAUACAAUGUGAUUUUCUGGAUUUUUGUUUUAGAUUCCGUCUCUCACAGUUGAAGUGUACCUAUGAAAAAAAUUACAGACCUCUACAUGCUUUGUAAGUAGGAAAACCUGCAAAAUCGUCAGUGUUUCAAAAACAUGUUCUCCCCACUGUAUGUGAUGUAGUAGAACAUUUUCGGGGAUCACUUUUGGCUUGUGAGUGUUACUAUCAGCACUACUGGCUAAAACGUACACAAAAAGUAGCAGAGAAUCUCUUUAAUGAGUCUGUUAACACAGCAGAUUAAACAUGAUCGGACUGUUCCAGCUGUAACAACCGGUUCUGUUGAUAACACAUCAGAUUAAACAUGAUUGGACUGUUCCAGCUGUAACAACCGGUUCUGUUGAUAACACAGCAGAUUAAACAUGAUCGGACUGUUCCAGCUGUAACAACCGGUUCUGUUGAUAACACAGCAGAUUAAACAUGAUUGGACUGUUCCAGCUGUAACAACCGGUUCUGUUGAUAACACAGCAGAUUAAACAUGAUCGGACUGUUCCAGCUGUAACAACCGGUUCUGUUGAUAACACAGCAGAUUAAACAUGAUUGGACUGUUCCAGCUGUAACAACCAGUCUUUUGUAUUAA